rnacentral:rRNA from 1 species
AGGAAUAUUGGUCAAUGGGCGAGAGCCUGAACCAGCCAAGUAGCGUGCAGGAUGACGGCCCUAUGGGUUGUAAACUGCUUUUAUAAGGGAAUAAAGUUAGUCUCGUGAGACUUUUUGCAUGUACCUUAUGAAUAAGGACCGGCUAAUUCCGUGCCAGCAGCCGCGGUAAUACGGAAGGUCCGGGCGUUAUCCGGAUUUAUUGGGUUUAAAGGGAGCGUAGGCCGGAGAUUAAGCGUGUUGUGAAAUGUAGACGCUCAACGUCUGCACUGCAGCGCGAACUGGUUUCCUUGAGUACGCACAAAGUGGGCGGAAUUCGUGGUGUAGCGGUGAAAUGCUUAGAUAUCACGAAGAACUCCGAUUGCGAAGGCAGCUCACUGGAGCGCAACUGACGCUGAAGCUCGAAAGUGCGGGUAUCGAACAGGAUUAGAUACCCUGGUAGUCCGCACGGUAAACGAUGGAUGCCCGCUGUUGGUCUGAACAGGUCAGCGGCCAAGCGAAAGCAUUAAGCAUCCCACCUGGGGAGUACGCCGGCAACGGUGAAACUCAAAGGAAUUGACGGGGGCCCGCACAAGCGGAGGAACAUGUGGUUUAAUUCGAUGAUACGCGAGGAACCUUACCCGGGCUUGAAUUGCAGAGGAAGGAUUUGGAGACAAUGACGCCCUUCGGGGCCUCUGUGAAGGUGCUGCAUGGUUGUCGUCAGCUCGUGCCGUGAGGUGUCGGCUUAAGUGCCAUAACGAGCGCAACCCCUCUCCUUAGUUGCCAUCAGGUUAAGCUGGGCACUCUGGGGACACUGCCACCGUAAGGUGUGAGGAAGGUGGGGAUGACGUCAAAUCAGCACGGCCCUUACGUCCGGGGCUACACACGUGUUACAAUGGCAGGUACAGAGAGACGGUCCCUUGCAAAAGGGAUCAAAUCCUCAAAGCCUGUCUCAGUUCGGACUGGGGUCUGCAACCCGACCCCACGAAGCUGGAUUCGCUAGUAAUCGCGCAUCAGCCAUGGCGCGGUGAAUACGUUCCCG